ensembl:miRNA aca-mir-5421 aca-mir-5421
AAGUCUGGAUGCAGUCUUCUGUCAUUUACUUGUGCUUUGCUUAUAGUGAACAGUGAGUGAAGAAGGCAGUCUCCAAAGAACC